GCUUAGACAGAAUGCUAACAGUGAGGAUUUGGGGUUCUUUAAAAACCCAGUUAUAUUAUGUGAGUAUGUUUCCAUUUUAAUCCCGGGUGUGGGAUUUGGGGAGGCUUCAGAUUGUCCCCAGCCUCUAACUAGGAUUGUCUCGAGAUCUAAGACAGGUGUGAUUUCUGCCAGCAGUAGAUGGCUUCUGUUUGGAAUUCUGGGGACUCUUGAGAGAGUACGAGUGACAGAUGCCUGAAAGGGCCUGUGGCAGCUGCUGCUCCUUUUGCUGUUGUGGAUUACUAGUUGAAGAUAUCCUGACGAUGGAUACUGGACUUGCCCCCAAAGAACCUGGCAUCCUUAAUUAGCAGGAUAUAAUCCAAAAAGAUCUACAACCCCUUUACGCUCUAACCUUCUUUCUCUCUUACAUAGUGUUGGGUGGGUGGGGGAUUGGAGGGUAUUGCAGUGGAAUAAAGGCUGGAAGGGUAAUAGACAAUAAAACCCAAUAAAGCAGCCCCAAAAGAAUGCCAACAAAGGACCAGACAUUCAAAUAUAAGAGCCUAAGGGGCCUAUUCUCACUCCACCCACACCCAGCAAACAUGUAGCAGAGGUGCUCAACAGAUCUCUGAACCCUGUGCCCAGGAAUCUCCAGUCAACUUGACUGACUUCUGUAGUCCUUCAGAAGUUUCUGAUUUCAAGGACUAAGAAUUUAACGUUGAUGUUUCUGGCCAAAGACGAUAUAGCUCUUCGCUUGAGGAGGCCUCUCCUCAGAGAUGUUUGGAUCCAGACUUACUUUCUGAGCUAGUACAGUGUAAGCUAAGGAGCCCUGUAGGAGUGACAGAGGGAUCCCAGCUGAGAAGGAAAAGGCAAGGGAGUCUGAACAGUUAAAACAAGGAGGGAGAGGAGGAAGAAAGGAGGAGGAGUAGAGGAAGAGGAGGGGGAGGAAGAAGAGGGGGAACAAGGGAGGAGGAAGAAGUGGAGACCAACCACAAUAACAAAAGAUGGAGGACUUAUUCCUUUGCUCAACUUCAAAACUUACCAUAUGUUCUAUAAUCAAGAGAACAAGAUGGCUGACACAAGGCUAGACACCAAAGUCAAUGGCACAGAACAUGGGAACCCAGAAAUACACACCUGCACUCAGCUAAGUUUUAAUAAGGGCACCUGCAACAGUUCAACCUGAGCGUGAUGCCUAAUCCUGUCAGCCUGACUGGAUUCGGAAUUAUCGGGAGACACAGCUCUGGAUUUGUCUAUGAGAGCGCUUCCACAGAGAAAGAAAGCCCCAUUUCUGAUGUAGGUGGUGCCAUCCUAAGGACUAGGGUCUCCCACUCAAUAAGAAAAGAAGAAGAAAGAAUGGAGCACCAACAUUUAUCUCUUCUUUGCCUCCAGACAAUAGAUACAAUGUGACCAGCCUCUGCCACUAAACCUUCUCAGCCGAUGGACUGCAUCCUUUGAACCGUGAGUCAGAGUAAACCCUUCCUUCUUCAAGUUGCUUUUGUGAGAUAAUUUGCUCCGUAGCAAUGAAACAGUAACUAAAACAGACGUCACAAUUGUUGCCGGGGCAAAAGAACGAGGCCCCACCCCCUCCUCACUUAAUAUGUAAGCAUUAACUCAAGAGGUGAAGGGUAUACGAGCCAGGGGACAAGGCAGUGAGUCACAGGAGAGAAGGGGUCCUACACAGCGCUCAUUCCCAGGCAAGCUUCACAAGAGUCGGGGGAGCUGCAGGCUCCUGGAGCCAGGGAAACUGCUCGUCAGCGUGGCCCUCAUCCCCUCACACAGAGCAUGGAAGUAGGAGGAGCGGCUGCUGGUGUCUGGUCUUCUGGGGCUGUAGUGGAUCCUGCUUUCUAACGUGGAGUCUGUGCCAGUUCUGGGUAAUCGGUUUCAGAAACACACAGCAGACUUGACUCAUGCUUCCUGUCUCCUCCAUUCACAAUACCGCUUAUCUCUCAAUGGCUUCACAGAGGCAAACAUGGUACUCGUGUCUCCCCACUCCUGACCAUCCUGCCACAUCCUGUUCUUGAGGAAAUGAUUAAAUUGGUUGAGUAGCUGAAA